rnacentral:rRNA from 1 species
UACGUAGGGCGCAAGCGUUAUCCGGAAUUAUUGGGCGUAAAGAGCUUGUAGGCGGUUUGUCGCGUCUGCCGUGAAAAUUCGAGGCUCAACCUCGAACUUGCGGUGGGUACGGGCAGACUAGAGUGUGGUAGGGGAGACUGGAAUUCCUGGUGUAGCGGUGAAAUGCGCAGAUAUCAGGAGGAACACCGAUGGCGAAGGCAGAUCUCUGGGCCGUAACUGACGCUGAGGAGCGAAAGCAUGGGGAGCGAACAGG